ACGCUGGCGGCGUGCUUACACAUGCAGUCGAACGAGAAUCAGUUGAAGGAGUUUUCGGACAACGGAUGCUGAGGAAAGUGGCGGACGGGUGAGUAACGCGUGAGGAACCUGCCUCGGAGUGGGGGACAACAGUUGGAAACGACUGCUAAUACCGCAUAAUGCAAUGGGGUCGCAUGAUCCUGUUGCCAAAGAUUUAUUGCUCUGAGAUGGCCUCGCGUCUGAUUAGAUAGUUGGUGGGGUACGGCCCACCAAGUCGACGAUCAGUAGCCGGACUGAGAGGUUGAACGGCCACAUUGGGACUGAGAUACGGCCCAGACUCCUACGGGAGGCAGCAGUGGGGAAUAUUGGGCAAUGGGCGCAAGCCUGACCCAGCAACGCCGCGUGAAGGAGAGGUUUCGGGUUGUAACUUCUUUUAGGGGAGAGCAGAGACGGUACCCUAGAUAGCCACGGCUACUACGUGCAGCAGCCGCGGUAUAC
rnacentral:rRNA from 1 species